rnacentral:sRNA from 1 species
ACUCAACACUAACAAAUUAAAAUGAGUGAAUCGUCGCUACUAAAGCAUGCUGUCAUCCGACAGAUCCUUGAACAGCGGGUUAGCUCAAAACUUGUCAUAUACGAGUUU